rnacentral:lncRNA from 1 species
CCGAACCCAACUGUUAGAUUCCUUUGUUGUAAUGUGGGGGCCUGAGCUGACACUUCUGGAGGCUGCGGGUGAGAACCACAGCUGAUCUGCCAUCUUUCCUGGUUUCUUAUUCUUUACCUAGCAUCAUCAGCUAAGGAGGAAAAGUAACAAAGAACUUGAAGACUUUCAUGGCUCCCAGGCCCUGGAUGGAGGCAGACGGCAUCAGGCAGCUUCAGACAGAGAAUGGUGGAAGCUGAGGGGCAGCUAGGAUGCGCCUGGGGCUGCAAAGCCCAGACUUGUCUUUGGAAAAGACUCAGAAGAGCCCGUUAACUUGGCUUCCUCACUUCUGCUCAUCAUGUGAGUAC